AAUAACAUUCCAGCUGGUGAUAAACAACAUGGAACAGAGCAAGCUUUGUUUUGUGAUCAACAUGAACGGGCAACGGCCAUUCAGGAAAGGCGGCGUAGAGAAAAAUGUACGGCAAAGACCCAUCUCAGAUAACCUGACGUUAGCAGAACAGGACUUCUGCAGGAGUUGCUGAUAUAUAUGGGGCAAGUAAGUAAAAAACAGAACCAGAAUAUUCCACUAAUAUCCGUUUUUUAUUCAGGAAGGAAAGGUGUUGCAACAAAAACACAGAACUGGACAUCUAGGGCUCCAGCCAAGAGGUACAGUGUGAAAAGCAAACAAGACUUCAACAUACAUUCAUAAACAGACUCGGAUCACACAGAGAGAAGUAAACUGAAUAAUUGCAGAUCAGAAGUGGUGGUCAAGCUGACUUAAAAAGGGAGGUAUUUUUAAUUAUAGAAUAACUGUAGUGUGAUUAUUUUCAUUGUUUAUAUAUAAACAAUAUCAUACUCAAAGAAUGUCUUGGGACACUUGAUUAAUUCUGUAACAAUAUUACAAAUUUAUUGGUUUCAUAAUAAAAUUCUAUUGAUAAGCAAUGUUUAAUGUAUAUAACAUAUUUUUUCACUGACUAUUUCAGUUCUGGUCUUGCCAUUUUGCUAUUAAUUCCAAUUGUAGUCAUUAGCUCCCAAAGUCAUACUAAACACAAAUAUUUGGUGUUUUAUGUUAUUGCAGAGGUGCAACUCAUUAAAAAGCACUGAAAUCUGACUGCAUGUCAAUGAACUUUUUAACUCAGAACAGCUCUUUUAGAACUACAAUUCAGGUUUCAAGGUAGUACUACUUGAAAUGAAAGUUUACUUUAAACUACUAAUUGUUUCUAAUGUACUAAUUAUGUCUAAAUGUAAUAUGUAUAUAGAGUAAACAAAAGAAUAAAGCAAUUUUCUUAUAAAACCAAUAAAUUAGCAAUAUUUUUACUGAAUUAAACAAGCAGGCCAAGAAUUUCUGCGAGCACUGUGUGUGUGUGUGUGUAUGUAUGUGUGCAUGCAUGUAUGUAUUAAUAUUAUUAGUAGUGUUUUGUUUAGUAACAAUACUAAAUGCCUGUGACCUCUUUUCAUCUUAAUUACUUUUUCUAAUGAAUGUGUGUUUUCUUUUAUUUCAAAUUGUUCCUUUUUAUUACUCUGCAAAAUCUACUGGUUUUUUUCCACAGGAUUUAGGAUUAUUUUUGUUCACACUAUUGCAUGUGAUUCUCCUGCAUAGUGGACUUUCCUCUAUUUGCAACCUUUUAACAAUUUGCAACCUUGCAACAGUUUGCCUGUGUCACCUAUUUGCAUAAUUGUAACAUUUUAAACCUAAUUAAGCACUAAUUAUCCCCCUUCCAUAUCUGCGUAUCCAAUGCAAGUUUACAAUUGGGGUCUAUAUUAACAAUGUACUUUUCAGUUACAACAAAUCGAUAUUUUUUACAGUUGACUAGCAUUUAUCUGCUAUAUAGAUUUCAUAGGCCAAGAAUUCAGUCUUUUGAGGUAGAAUGUUUUCAACAGAAAAUUUAGUCAGUUCUAUUCCCAUCUGACAAAUAGGAAAUUCCACAGUAAAACUUCUGCAGGAUUGAUGGCUGCAGUCAUACAGCACUCGUUUUACUGGGUCUAAAAUGAAUAGAUCUAUUAUCAAAACAGGUCUAAAAUAGGUAGAUGAUCAUAAUUUAAGUUAAAUGUUUUCUUCUAAAUUGCAUAAUUUUUUCUCCAGUUUUUAAUGUUAUAAUUAACACGACACACUACUGUACCUAAGACAUCAAGGAACAUCUGCUGCUGUUGUUUGCUUAUUGUGAUAAAGAAUUUAUUUUAUUAAGAUAUUCAACAAUUUUUCCAUAUGACCUAGAUUUGAUGUGAACAUUUUUACAUGUACUUUGAAAAAAAGUACAGCUCUGGAAAAAAAUUAAGAAGUCAUUCUAUAUUGUUUAAAAAUCUGCACUUUAUAUUUCUGGUUUAAUCCUGGUUUUGCUGGGAGAAGCUACAUUGCAAGGGAGGCUGCAUCCAGGCUCGAAAAUUUUACGACAAUACACAGGAACAUGGUGAAGCAGGAGACACUGGGAACGACCAGAACCCAGCCAGGUAGAGGGCGGAGGCGAAUUUCUAAUGCCACAGAAAACCUGCAACUUAUUCAACAAUGCUUCACAAAUCAGGAUAUGGCAUCAAGUGACCUUAAAAAAAGGAAUGGGAAAAAUUAAGUGCAGGUGUGAAGUGCACUGCUUGGACAGUUAGGACUGCUAGAACUCCUUGAAGCCCUUAAAGACCCAUAAAGCAAGGAAGAAGUCCUUCAUUAAUGAAUAUCUUGAAAGAGCCAGGCUGGAGUUUGCAAAAAACAAAUAUAUUUUACACAAAUGCAUUCCCAUAAACUGAGAAAUAAGUGAAAUUUAAAAAAAAUGUUGCCGUGGUCUCUAAACAUAUUCCAGCUGUACAUUCCACUCAUUCUGAAAUAACCUAAAUCUCCAUCCUAAUACCUGCAGAAUAUUUUAGAGGUGAUUUACACCACAGAUACACUACUGCCAAGUAGUGAUUCUAGCUAAUUUUGAUUCGAGAAAAAUGAUUUGAAAAAUGUUGAUAUCUCACUGAUCUUCCAGGGAUCUGCACUGACCUCCCCCCCCCCUCCAAUCCUCAUCAGCAGGUUCACUUGUUGUCGCAGACGCCAAACUCUGGGCACUACAGCCUUUUCCCACACCGAACCCAAACCCCUCCCCCUCGUAUCCAACAACUAGACACUACAACACAGUUUCAAACCUUUUAGGCUGGUUACCUGAAAGCACGUGACUGACUGCUCUGUCAAGCAGGAUUUUAUUGGUGUCACUUAGUUGAUGUUGUUUGUUUUCUUUGUCAGGUGACCUUCAUUUGUCCUAAAAUGUGCCUUUAAAUAGGUAUUGAAUCAUUAUUAAUAACUAAAGUAUGCUGUUGCACAAUAUUCUUUUAUAUAUGACACAUAUGAAAAAGAAUCAAGAUUAAUGUAUUUUAGUUUAGUUAGUUUAGUUUUAGUUAGUAAGAAUGACGCACUUGAAAAGAUUAUAUUAUAAUUGCCCCAAACGACACUAAAACGUGUUUUCACUGCUGGCACUAAUAAUGCUGAGCAUUCAAUCGACAACUAAUUUUUUCCUUCUAAUAGCAUAUCAAUGAAUCAUAUUUUUUUCUAACCUAAAGACAAGAACAAUCUUGCUCAGUGAGUCAUUCAGGUAUUUGUUAACUGAACCUCAAGCCAAACUAAACCCUCAUACAAACCAAGGUAACUAUGACACUUUUUUCCAGAUCACACACUUUUCUUACCCUGGCAUGAUUAACGACCUACUGAAAUCAGAUAUUUGGGGAAAAGUUUGGCGGUUCUGAGUUAGUAUUUAGUUGCCAAAUCUGAUACUGUACACAAGGGGAAAAAAACUUAUGAUGAAUUUUAAUUUCUCGAGCCUGUUGUAACCAUUUAUUAUGGUUUCGUUCUUCUUUUGUGUUAAUAAUUUCAUUUUUACCUUCUUUUAAUUUAGGCAUCGCUUCAAUAUAUUGCUAGUUAUUCUUAAUUAAUUCUUAUUAAUUGCUAUCUAUUAAUUACUCUGAAACGAAAGUAGAGCAAGAAUUUUGGAAAUGUGUUAUUUUUAAUGCUAAAAGCAUAGCAUUCCAUAUACUGUAGAGAGAAUUUAAAAAAUAUGGUAAAAGAAUCUAUGCAAGGUUAGAGGAAAAUGUCACAGAAUGGAAUGUCGCAAGUUCUGAUUAAAGGGGCCCACAUUCAGAUAACAAACAUCUGGGAAAAGCAUACAGCUAUGCUGAUAGACUCCAAACUCCACCUCUGAAGGGAAUGAUUUCACUUUAGCACUAGGAAACUCAUAACCUCACAGAUUAAACUAAGCCGGAAGCCACCGUAUGAAGUUUCCGUAUGAACUCACUUGCGCUACUCCGUACAUUAUACGCAUAAACUGCACAUUCUUGUUAUUGUUUGCAAAUAUACAAACAAAUAAAUAAGAUACUACUGCUUCACUGAGAUUUUGGGAAGAAAACUUCCCGUCCAUGCAGCAGGAUGCUUAUCUUCACAUGUUUCCACGCGCCACGAGCUCCGCCUGGUUCCUCAGACACCAGGGGUUCGAGGUUUUCGCUGCAACGCGACGCAGCGACUUGAAGCAACGACUUGACGUAGCUCUAAAUCAUCAUGCGAUAAAAAUGAAUAGAUUUCAGCGCACGUCAUAAUAUAACUGUAGGUCUAUAGAAGUGACAUAAAUAUGUAAAUGGAGAUGAUAAUUGCACAAGGAGUCACUGUCCUACAACGUUUACAUAAUGCAAUCUUUUAUUUCAGGUCGUAUUUAAUUAUGUGUGAAACCUUGAAUACCUAUUAAGUGUUGUAGACUAACUGUACAAAUAUAUUUGGUCAUAUACAAAUCUUCAUGUGUUAAUGUGCUUUUUUUGCCUAGGCCUACUUAAAUGAAUCAAUGAAUCGAUAAAGCCUCUAAAGACGAAUAGUUAGCCUAUAAUUAUUAUGCUAUUAAUUAUAACUUAUGUAGGGUUCUACACACGUAACAUAGGCCUAUAUUAUUUUAAUUUACAAACAUUAUUACAUUGGUAUAGCCUACUUACAAAAAAUUGGUACACUUAGGUAGAUUCACAUAUUGGCCGAACAAGUCAAUAUGUUUUAAAUGUUUUAAAACUCAAAACACCCAGGUUUUUAAUUUGUAAAUUAAUUUUUUAAAAUCUAUUUCAGUUAUAACUUGGAACUGAAAUAGUCCACGAUCGAUUUCGGUAAUAAGUAUAUCUCCUGUUUACAUACAUUCAAACUAUAUUACAUGAUACGGUUAAAUUUAUUUUAACACCGGUGUUCAGUAAAGACUUGUUGCUUAACGUUAAUUAGAUAUUUUAACAUUUCACAAGACCCGAGCUAAGAAAAAUUAGGAAAUCAUUGCGACACUUAGAAUUACCCGCAUUGACCCCCUUAUACAUUCGUGAUAUGAUUACAUGGAACAUCAUGUUUAAUGGACGGCAAAUGGGAAGCUUUAAAGAUAUUGAGAUGAAUGACUUCUGCUGCAUGAAUCCAUCGCUGGGGAGCCACACUUAAACGCUUACGUUGAUAUCACAGUUUUUGUAAAACGCAUAUGUUUCGUAAGUUUGAUUUAAAAGAUUCCCCAGUCGAAGGACGUUGUUCUCAGCAAGCUACGGGAACAUGUUGCAGAUGUGAUCCCGGGACGAGAAAGUGAAACCGACUGCGCUCAGUGACGGAAGUCAAAGAAGCCGCUGGGGCAGCGACUCCUGGGCACAAACUGCGAAAACCUGGAUUUUUUAAAAAUAUCUCACAACUGUCCAAUAAAUAAAUAAAUAAAUAAAAAACCAAGAAAAGACGGUUUUGUGACAAAUAAAUCCUUACAACAAUUCACACAUUAAUGGACAUCGCUCUAGCCAGUGGGCGUGGGAAUGGGAGUUUCUGGUUCAGUCAAUUAGGAAACAUGACUUGAAAAUGACAAAUGGGGGAUUCCCGGAUUUUCCUAUUGGAUUUCCUUGCAGUCAUAAGGAAACUUAAGAGAAUUUACAAGAAAUGCGGCCUCAUUUGGAAACCCAAGCUUUCCAACAGAUUUUUUUGGGGACUUAUUUGUUGACUCUUAUUCUGCGGCCUCUUGUUUAUUCCUGUGAAAAUACAACGUCAAUGAAGUACGUUAAAGAGGAUUAUAACAAUAUUAUUUAUCCUGUUCUUCAAAAAGUCGAAAAUACAAUUGCAAAUGAUUUACAGAACGUGACCUGCAAGACAAAACAAACAACUGUACAUGAGUGUGAAGAAAACAAUGAAAGAAGUUCUAUUCAUAAAAUGAUUUCUGCCAUCCAACUAAAUCUAAAUAAUAGGAAAGUAACCUGUUAUCUAAAGAAACUUAUUAGUCUUAUAAACAAUUCCCUUGGAUGUGACGUAAAGGAUGAAAACGGAACACAUUCUGAAUGUGCCCACCUCCCAGGACAGCGUUUGCCAAAGAAAAGAACCUCCAAACUUUGCAGACUCUGCCGAGCACAACGUGUCAUUAACGCGACGCGCUCAUGCUACGCCAAGCUGAUGGAGAAGAAUGGCUGAGCGCUGAGCUGGGGCGUGUGGAUUCAAGGGCAAACCACUCUCUUUGGCUGAUGGGGUUCCUGCUGCCUAGGAGCUUUCAGAGAAGAGCAAAGGAAACGGGCUCAAGUGACAGGACUCUGCAAAACCCCUGCGUGCUACAACUACUGGAUUCAGCAUUUUUGUGUGUCUAAUCAUAUUAUCCUAACCACAGACAUCAAACAUGACAUGCGCUCUGCUACCCUAUGCGGCUAACUUACCGAAACACGACAAUAGAGAUUUCGACCUUCUAACAGCAUGGAGAGAGGUAACGGGUGCAGGUCAUGGGCAGUGGUGAAUUGCGUCAGAGGUGGCCUUUGGACUGUUGUAGGUAUGACAUCUUGUGGUUGUAGCCUGUAAUGCGAUCCGGGCAUAUCCAGUUAUGCCACGCUUCAGCUGGCGUAAGGCUUCAUCGGUUUUUAGGCAUCGAAGGGAAUGAGGUCUUCAGAGGAACAGCUCUUUCAAGUUUCCUUCCGCAUAUAAAAAAGGAAAAAACCUUGUUGCUUAUUACCUGCAACCAGGUGUUGAUUUCGUUUCGUUUUUAAAUACCUGCCUGUAAAUGGACCUAACAAUUCUCCCAACUACAGUAAUGUGUAUCACAAUAUUUUAUCAUGUUUGAAACUACAUAGUCAAUUGUACCCAAUUGUAGAAUCACUACCAAGUAUACAUUACUUUGAUAUAAAUGUAUAUAUAAAGUAUAUGUUGAAUUCAUAUAACGGUCUUAUCUCACAGUCAAGGUGACUGCAUGUGACAGUACGUUCUUGUUUAGUCAGUGAAUUAACAGCUGUUUCUAUGAAGGACAUUUUGCAUGAUCUGCAUAAACAUUAGAGGGUUAAGUGAUGGCACUCGGCACGACUCUAGAUGUUUAUCUUUAGUACUUCUAGCUCUCUGAGCAGCUUAUAAUGGCGCCUUUAGCUAAGCACCUUACAAACACAGUAUUGUAUCCUAACCCUAAACUGACAGGGGGAUGGUGCUCUUACUUUCCUGAUUUCCCCAACGUCUGCUUCAGUAACUAUGUAACUCGGGUACAUAGAUCAGGUUGGCUGAGCAAUAGGACAGGGGGACAAGCAGGGGCAACUAUGGAUCGUUGGACUGGUAAUGAGGUUAGUGGUGGUGAUUAACCGCCAAGGGAGAGGCAGUUCAGGUCACUUUUGAGUUUGUACUAUAAUAAGCUAAUACUUUAGUCAAGAUGAUGAAUUAGGAUCUGCAGAGACAUAUUACAAGUCUAAAGCGGAUUCUAAGGAAGGAAAAUUAUAGUAAUUCCUAGCAAAACAACAGAAUCCAACUAAAUCCAUUCCAACAAGGUGAGGCCUGGCAAGUGACUUCUGUCUAAUUUACCAGAAAGGAAUAAAUGACUAAUUCAUACUUUUAUUGUAGACAGGAACAUUCUGCUGAUUAUAUCAUAAACAAACCAUGUGUUCAAAUUAUCCUUUGAGGGUAUUACAGUAAAUCGUGAUGUUUUCAUUGCUCCACUCCCUUGAAAACACUGUCAAAAACUGUGGCAUGUCUAACUGGUAUGAGAAAUUAGUAACUGCCUUAGCCUACUUCAAAUCAUACAUUAUUUCCUGUUUUUUCCAUGUUUCAUGUGCAGGCAAACAGGACCAGCUUAACAAUCAUCUGUAAUUCUUUCAUCUUUUUUAUCUCUUUGAUAGCAAAAUCUCUGAAUCUGUCAUUCAUAACAGUUAAUGGCUGCUGUGUGAGGACAAAAUAAUGUACUGGAGGUAUCAGCUGAAAUGUGCAAAACUGUAGCCAAUAAAGUUCUUACUGUGCUGAA